GCGCAAGUAGAUCAGUGGUUAGAUCGUCCGCCUCACACGCGGAAGGUCGCGGGUUCAAACCCCGCCUUGCGUA
rfam:Naegleria gruberi genomic scaffold NAEGRscaffold_71, whole genome shotgun sequence.